rnacentral:tRNA from 1 species
GAGGGUAUAACUCAGUGGUAGAGCGCAUGCUUAACAUGCAUGAAGUCCCAGGUUCAAUCCCCAGUACCUCCA